UACGUAGGGGGCAAGCGUUGUCCGGAAUUAUUGGGCGUAAAGAGCGUGUAGGCGGUCCGGUAAGUCGGCUGUGAAAGUCCAGGGCUCAACCCUGGGAUGCCGGUUGAUACUGCCGGACUAGAGUUCGGAAGAGGCGAGUGGAAUUCCCGGUGUAGCGGUGAAAUGCGCAGAUAUCGGGAGGAACACCUAUGGCGAAGGCAGCUCGCUGGGACGUUACUGACGCUGAGACGCGAAAGCGUGGGGAGCGAACAGG
rnacentral:rRNA from 1 species